GAUGAACGCUGGCGGCGUGCCUAAUACAUGCAAGUCGAGCGAACGGACGAGAAGCUUGCUUCUCUGAUGUUAGCGGCGGACGGGUGAGUAACACGUGGAUAACCUACCUAUAAGACUGGGAUAACUUCGGGAAACCGGAGCUAAUACCGGAUAAUAUUUUGAACCGCAUGGUUCAAAAGUGAAAGACGGUCUUGCUGUCACUUAUAGAUGGAUCCGCGCUGCAUUAGCUAGUUGGUAAGGUAACGGCUUACCAAGGCAACGAUGCAUAGCCGACCUGAGAGGCUGAUCGGCGACACUGGAACUGAGACACGGUCCAGACUCCUACGGGAGGCAGCAGUAGGGAAUCUUCCGCAAUGGGCGAAAGCCUGACGGAGCAACGCCGCGUGAGUGAUGAAGGUCUUCGGAUCGUAAAACUCUGUUAUUAGGGAAGAACAUAUGUGUAAGUAACUGUGCACAUCUUGACGGUACCUAAUCAGAAAGCCACGGCUAACUACGUG
rnacentral:rRNA from 1 species